GCGGCCUACCAUGCAGUCGAGCGGAUGAAGGGAGCUUGCUCCUGGAUUCAGCGGCGGACGGGUGAGUAAUGCCUAGGAAUCUGCCUGGUAGUGGGGGAUAACGUCCGGAAACGGGCGCUAAUACCGCAUACGUCCUGAGGGAGAAAGUGGGGGAUCUUCGGACCUCACGCUAUCAGAUGAGCCUAGGUCGGAUUAGCUAGUUGGUGGGGUAAAGGCCUACCAAGGCGACGAUCCGUAACUGGUCUGAGAGGAUGAUCAGUCACACUGGAACUGAGACACGGUCCAGACUCCUACGGGAGGCAGCAGUGGGGAAUAUUGGACAAUGGGCGAAAGCCUGAUCCAGCCAUGCCGCGUGUGUGAAGAAGGUCUUCGGAUUGUAAAGCACUUUAAGUUGGGAGGAAGGGCAGUAAGUUAAUACCUUGCUGUUUUGACGUUACCAACAGAAUAAGCACCGGCUAACUUCGUGCCAGCAGCCGC
rnacentral:rRNA from 1 species